AUACAGGAACUAUAAAAUAAUUAUUAGUCAUUCCAAUUUCUUUUAGCAUAAAAUUAAAAUCUUUUCUUCUUAUAGUUUGCAUCGCUCACAUCUUCAUAAAAAUAUCAGUUAGUUAGCCAGCAGGAUCUUAAAUUUGUACUUCGAACACUCAUCAGGCUCCUGUUUAAUGAAAUUAUCCUUAGUGGUUCCCCGCUCAAGCCCUCAACUCGAAUUUGUCCAGCUGCCAUUUUCCGGACUCCUUGGCGGUUCCAUUACCAAAGGGGAAACCAUGGGGCGAACGAGCAGCGGCAUGUGACAGGGGACUGACUUUCUGUCGGAUUUCAAACUAUCCAACUCCGUUGGAGGAUGCAACGCGACAAUGGCCUGACCACUGCUGUAAUGUCCUUUGAACUCCUGAUGUGGCGUUCUCAUUGUUGCGCCCAUUUUUACUUUUAUUGCGUGUUGCUGCAUACUUCUAUGCUAUUUAUUAUUGUAAAAUAUUUUGUAAGGCAUACCCACGAAUGCAUGAUGAAUGAAAAUUCUUCUGAGCACUGCUAUGAAUGUUAAGUUGGAAUUAUACGGAACACUGUAAUUUAUAUUAUUAAAUUAUGUGGUUACAAUAAAAGUUAAAAAAUUAGUUAAA